UACGUAGGGGGCAAGCGUUGUCCGGAUUUAUUGGGCGUAAAGAGCGUGUAGGCGGUUUGGUAGGUCCGCUGUGAAAACUCGAGGCUCAACCUCGAGACGCCAGUGGAAACCAUCAGACUAGAGUCCGGAAGAGGAGAGUGGAAUUCCUGGUGUAGCGGUGAAAUGCGUAGAGAUCGGAAAGAACACCAACGGCGAAAGCACUCUGCUGGGCCGACACUGACACUGAGAGACGAAAGCUAGGGGAGCGAAUGGG
rnacentral:rRNA from 1 species